UAGUUCUCCGACAUUGAUGACUGAUGACUGAUCCCUCGUAAUUCUGAAACCCUAAUUCACAUGCGUCUGAGAGCACGAUGGAUUCACAAAGCCAGAACACAUCAUUACAACGGCUUCAAAAUGUUGAGAAGAGGAUAAUUACUGCUUUGGAGCUGACUAGAGG